ACGCUGGCGGCGUGCCUAAUACAUGCAAGUCGAGCGAAUGGAUUGAGAGCUUGCUCUCAAGAAGUUAGCGGCGGACGGGUGAGUAACACGUGGGUAACCUGCCCAUAAGACUGGGAUAACUCCGGGAAACCGGGGCUAAUACCGGAUAACAUUUUGAACUGCAUGGUUCGAAAUUGAAAGGCGGCUUCGGCUGUCACUUAUGGAUGGACCCGCGUCGCAUUAGCUAGUUGGUGAGGUAACGGCUCACCAAGGCAACGAUGCGUAGCCGACCUGAGAGGGUGAUCGGCCACACUGGGACUGAGACACGGCCCAGACUCCUACGGGAGGCAGCAGUAGGGAAUCUUCCGCAAUGGACGAAAGUCUGACGGAGCAACGCCGCGUGAGUGAUGAAGGCUUUCGGGUCGUAAAACUCUGUUGUUAGGGAAGAACAAGUGCUAGUUGAAUAAGCUGGCACCUUGGCGGUACCUAACCAGAAAGCCACGGCUAACUACGUGCCAGCAGCCGCGGUAAUACGUAGGUGGCAAGCGUUAUCCGGAAUUAUUGGGCGUAAAGCGCGCGCAGGUGGUUUCUUAAGUCUGAUGUGAAAGCCCACGGCUCAACCGUGGAGGGUCAUUGGAAACUGGGAGACUUGAGUGCAGAAGAGGAAAGUGGAAUUCCAUGUGUAGCGGUGA
rnacentral:rRNA from 1 species